AGCGAACGCUGGCGGCAGGCCUAACACAUGCAAGUCGAACGAACUCUUCGGAGUUAGUGGCGGACGGGUGAGUAACACGUGGGAACGUGCCUUUAGGUUCGGAAUAACUCAGGGAAACUUGUGCUAAUACCGAAUGUGCCCUUCGGGGGAAAGAUUUAUCGCCUUUAGAGCGGCCCGCGUCUGAUUAGCUAGUUGGUGAGGUAAAGGCUCACCAAGGCGACGAUCAGUAGCUGGUCUGAGAGGAUGAUCAGCCACAUUGGGACUGAGACACGGCCCAAACCUCCUCCGGGAGGCGCCAGUGGGGAUCCUUGCGCAUUGGCGAAAGCCUGACGCAGCCAUGCCGCGUGAAUGAUGAAGGUCUUAGGAUUGUAAAAUUCUUUCACCGGGGACGAUAAUGACGGUACCCGGAGAAGAAGCCCCGGCUAACUUCGUG
rnacentral:rRNA from 1 species